rnacentral:rRNA from 1 species
AGGACGAACGCUGGCGGCGUGCUUAACACAUGCAAGUCGAGCGGAAAGGCCCUUCGGGGUACUCGAGCGGCGAACGGGUGAGUAACACGUGAGCAACCUGCCCUUAGCUCCGGGAUAGCUCCGGGAAACCGGAAUUAAUACCGGAUAUGACCUAGGCCGACAUCGGCUAUGGUGGAAAGUUUUUUCGGCUGGGGAUGGACUCGCGGCCUAUCAGCUUGUUGGUGGGGUAAUGGCCUACCAAGGCGACGACGGGUA